UACGGGGGGAGCAAGCGUUGUCCGGAUUUACUGGGCGUAAAGAGCGUGUAGGCGGGACUUUAAGUCAGUUGUGAAAUCUCUCGGCUCAACCGAGAACCUGCAAAUGAUACUAUUGUCCUUGAGUACGGAAGAGGGAAGUGGAAUUCCUGGUGUAGCGGUGAAAUGCGUAGAUAUCAGGAAGAACACCAGUAGCGAAGGCGGCUUCCUGGUCCGUCACUGACGCUGAGACGCGAAAGCGUGGGGAGCAAACAGGAUUAGAUACCCGAGUA
rnacentral:rRNA from 1 species